rnacentral:rRNA from 1 species
GGAAUAUUGCGCAAUGGGGGAAACCCUGACGCAGCAACGCCGCGUGAGUGAUGAAGGUCUUCGGAUUGUAAAACUCUGUCUUUGGGGACGAUAAUGACGGUACCCAAGGAGGAAGCCACGGCUAACUACGUGCCAGCAGCCGCGGUAAUACGUAGGUGGCAAGCGUUGUCCGGAUUUACUGGGCGUAAAGAGUAUGUAGGCGGACAUUUAAGUCAGAUGUGAAAUCCCCGGGCUUAACCUGGGAGCUGCAUUUGAUACUGGGUGUCUAGAGUGUAGGAGAGGAAAGUGGAAUUCCUAGUGUAGCGGUGAAAUGCGUAGAGAUUAGGAAGAACACCAGUGGCGAAGGCGACUUUCUGGACUAUAACUGACGCUGAGAUACGAAAGCGUGGGGAGCAAACA